GCACUGCUGAGGAGUCCCAUAAUAGGACGAAACAGCCGUCGAGUGC
rnacentral:hammerhead_ribozyme from 1 species